rnacentral:rRNA from 1 species
UUAGGAAUCUUCUGCAAUGCGCGCAAGCGUGACAGAUUGAGUCAGAGUGACUUUCAUUUGAAAGUCUUUUGCCAAAUGUAAAAAGUUUGGCGAAUAAGGACUGGGUAAGACGGGUGCCAGCCGCCGCGGUAAUACCCGCGGUCCAAGUCGCAGCCAUCAUUAUUGGGUCUAAAACAUCCGUAGCUUGCUUAGUAAGUUUCUUGUGAAAUUCUAUAUCUCAAAUAUAGAGCGGGCAAGAAGUACUGUUAAGCUAGAGACUGGAAGACGUAAGAAGUACGUUUGGAGUAGCGGUAAAAUGUGUUAAUCCCAGACGGACUAACAACAGCGAAGGCAUCUUACGAGGACAGUUCUGACAGUAAGGGAUGAAGGCUAGGGGCGCGAAACGGAUUAGAUACCCGUGUAGUCCUAGCAGUAAACACUGCACACUAAACAUUAGUACCUCCUCGAGAGGUGUUAGUGCUGAAGAGAAGUCGAAGAGUGUGCUACCUGGGAAGUAUAGUCGCAAGG